rnacentral:tRNA from 1 species
GGGGCUAUGGGGUAACUUGGCUAUCCUUGCCGGUUUGGGGCCGGCUGAUCCCGGUUCGAAUCCGGGUAGCCCCA